AGUGAACGCUGGCGGUAGGCCUAACACAUGCAAGUCGAACGGCAGCACAGUAAGAGCUUGCUCUUACGGGUGGCGAGUGGCGGACGGGUGAGGAAUACAUCGGAAUCUACUUUUUCGUGGGGGAUAACGUAGGGAAACUUACGCUAAUACCGCAUACGACCUACGGGUGAAAGCAGGGGAUCUUCGGACCUUGCGCGAUUGAAUGAGCCGCUGUCGGAUUAGCUAGUUGGCGGGGUAAAGGCCCACCAAGGCGACGAUCCGUAGCUGGUCUGAGAGGAUGAUCAGCCACACUGGAACUGAGACACGGUCCAGACUCCUACGGGAGGCAGCAGUGGGGAAUAUUGGACAAUGGGCGCAAGCCUGAUCCAGCCAUACCGCGUGGGUGAAGAAGGCCUUCGGGUUGUAAAGUCCUUUUGUUGGGAAAGAAAAGCAGCAGGUUAAUACCCCGCUGUUCUGACGGUACCCAAAGAAUAAGCACCGGCUAACUUCGUG
rnacentral:rRNA from 1 species